CUGCCAUAUAUCCGGUCAUGCUCUUUUUACUCUCCCUAAGAGCAAAGGAGGGCAAAAUAAGGGGGGUGGGGAGGAGGAAACCGUAGUACAAAUAAUUUAAAGGAAAUAACAUAUGUUUAGCUUUUUUGGGGACUGAAUAAAAGAAGAGUUAUAAGAAAGAAGACUUCUGAUGGUAAGUAUUUUAUAUUUUUACAAGUAUUAGUUUUAUCGUCCCCCCCAUAUAAAACCUCCCAAUGCUCCCACCGCACACUAUAUAUACAAAUAAAAGUGAGGCAUUCCAGAUGAUUCUGC